GAAAACGUGUUGAAGAGGAAAGUAAUUUUAAUCAUUUUAUUAAAGUGAAUUCUGAAUAGUGAGAAAGAAGAAUAAUGAUUAAAAUGAAAGUAGCCUUGGAGCUGUGAGUGCGAAUGUUAUUGAGUUCUUGCGGGGUGCGCCCCUUAAAGCGUCAACGUAUCGUCGCAAUUCUUGACUGUACGUGGAUGAGGCAGUUUGAAAUUUUUUAAAACUGUAAAAUAAGGUGGUACAGCGUAGAUAAACGCCCUUAGU
rnacentral:ncRNA from 1 species